GACGAACGCUGGCGGCGUGCUUAACACAUGCAAGUCGAGCGGUAAGGCCCUUUCGGGGGUACGACGAGCGGCGAACGGGUGAGUAACACGUGGGUGACCUGCCCUCAGCUCUGGGACAAGCCUGGGAGACCGGGUCUAAUACCGGAUAUGACUCCAUGACGCAUGUUGUGGGGUGGAAAGCCUUGUGCGGCUGAGGAUGGGCCCGCGGCCUAUCAGCUUGUUGGUGGGGUGANGGCCUACCAAGGCGACGACGGGUAGCCGGCCUGAGAGGGCGACCGGCCACACUGGGACUGAGACACGGCCCAGACUCCUACGGGAGGCAGCAGUGGGGAAUCUUGCGCAAUGGGCGAAAGCCUGACGCAGCGACGCCGCGUGAGGGAUGACGGCCU
rnacentral:rRNA from 1 species